rnacentral:rRNA from 1 species
UUUGGAAUCCCACGGUCCUUUUCCUCACGGUUGUCAUUCUCCCGUAUCCCUAACCUCACGAAACCCACCAUCGAACUCAUCGCCUGCCAUGGAUUGCGCCGCCGCCCUGCUCCCUACUGCCGUCGUCGCUCCGUUUCCCAUCCGCCGCCGCCGUCCAUCGCGUCCAGCCUCUGUCGCAUCCCAUCGUCUCCACCUCCACCACGAACCAUCUCUCUCCUUGGUCGUCUCUCUUGGACCAGCACGCGGCGGCGGAUUCUUCCGAUGGCGUGUGGCGACGCGUCCGGUCGAGGGAACGGGGGUGAGGCAGACUGCGUCCCGUUCAUCGAUCUGUCCCCACCUCAUGUUCCUCCUCUCCAUUGAAUUUCACGUCCCCAGUUACUGCGACACAGGACGCUCUCCACUCUUUGACAACAAUGGUGCCCGUCCUGUUGUGCCUCUCCACACUUACCAUCGAGGCGGAAAAAUAUUUGGAGAAGAUCGCGCUCCCUGUAGAAAAUUCGGCCGUGUUCUAAGUGGCUACCCAGCAAGAUAAUUUUCUGCUCUGAAGUUCUCUCAUGGAACUUGGGUGGGAUUGGCGAACGUGCUAGGUGGAGUACGUGCCACUGGAUGGCCAUGUUAGUGGGCAGAAUCUCCUCUCCUUCAGACACAAACUUGGGUUUGGCAAGGAACUGGACCCGUGCCGGAUGUUCAUCAGCAACGCCAGUCAGGGGUUCAGGCUCCUGUGGAACUCAUGGCAUCAGUCGUAUGGACCUUCAUGUAUUUGAUAGUUUUCUCGAUCACUUUUAUGCCCUCAACUACAGCUAAGGCUACCCCACAAGUUCAUUGAGAUUUGUUUUUUAUAGGACUUGGAUUAAUAAUCUCCAACAAUAUGGUCAUUGCUUCUUAUAUAUACUUUCAGUUCUAAAUACAUUUCAGAUUUUUCUUUAUCCUGUACUACUAAACUAUGUGUGCUAAACCAAACAUGGCAUCUGCGUCUUUUUAUGCAUGCAUGUUUCAAGACAAUAUAUCUAAUAUGUAGUAUACAGAAAGGUACCUAAAUAUUAGCUUAUAUUGCCAACUCUUGAAAAUAUACGGUCCCUGUACAUUUUUUGCCGAGAACCUGGGGAGCUUGGGACGAAGUAUGGUGUCAAUAAUCAGUAUAUACCAGAACAAUAUUUCAACACCGAUGUCACUUGCCACAGUACUUCCUUCACUGCCAAUCUAGCCGCAAACUCUGUUUGUCCUCGAAUCUAGCUCCACAAAGGUUGUGCUUUGCCGUGCAUCUAAAAGUAAGGUUACUAUCAUAAUUAAUUAGUAGAGCUUCUUCUCUAUUCAAAUUGAAUUUGAUAAGCAACAAAGUCCUCUGUGUCAUGCUUCAAUUAUAUGGCUCGAGCCGGCCAAACCUGAAAUGUUCGGUGAAGAUUCAAAGUACAUCUAGAUUACUUUGUGUUGCCCACAAUCCUAUUACUUGAUUUUUUUUGAGCUAACUAUAUCUAUGGAUAAAUUUGCAAGAUGAUGCAAAAAAAUUGCUUGCAGGUAGGCUGUGUACAGAGAUGCAUGUUGUGAGUUCAUAACAAUUUUACAAUAUUGAGAUUUGUUUUAGAUGCUUCUAAGCAGUGCUAUAGCAGAACGGUGCUCCAUUUCCUUACUGUUGUUGCUAAAUAUUUGUUUUGUGGCAUAUUAGGACUGAACGGCAUCAUGCUAACAACCUCACCCUAGGAGUCCACUUCUUCACGGUCAUGGCAUCUGCCUCCACCAAUUAUCUAGAGUUAAGUUCCAGAGACAAUUGGGGAGGUCAACUUUGAGCUGCAGCACUCUAUGUGUUCACGCAAUCGGAACGCCCAAAAUAUCAUGCCAAUAUGUGAUUUAUGCCUUUUCUGUUAGGAUUAUCUCCCUUCUCCACGGAUAAAUUGCUUGAUGUGUUCAAUUGUCCGGUUUUCCCUAAAUGUUAAACACUAAAAAGGCCUGAGUGGAUUAUCUCCCUUCUCCACGGAUAAAUUGCUUGAUGUGUUCAAUGGUCCGGUUGAAUUGGAUACAAGCAUGCUACAAAUCAAAUAGUUAUUUGAUAAGGCAUUUGAUGAGCUCCUGUAAUUCUAAUCUACUUCCCACAUUUUACAGCUGAUGUUAUUUAGUAAUCUGUAGUGAGCCUAAGAAAUAGUACUAUGGGGAGAAGCAGGCAACACGUAAUAUGUGUGUCAUUUGAGAAAAAUGAAACUUCCAACUUUCCAACUGUUCAUUGCAUAUUACAUGUAAAAGACACUAUCUUAGACAAAUAGAUGAUUCACCAGGUUCAAUGAAAGUUAGCUUAAAUACCAUGUAUUUUUCUGCACAUGGAUUAUUGCCUAUUGUAGAUCAUCCUCUGUACAUUUGUUAGUCUAAUAGUCAAGCAGGACAAAAAAGUUCACUCCAGUAAUGCCUUUGCUCUACAAGAUCUGAC